rnacentral:misc_RNA from 1 species
AAGUCGUAACAAGGUUUCCGUAGGUGAACCUGCGGAAGGAUCAUCAACAAUAUAGACCGGAAUUGAACCGGUCUGAACCAAAUAUAAAAUACUCGAGUUGGAUGAAUUAUCCGCUUGAUAAUUAGACCGAUUCAUCGAAAUGAUGAAUAUGGUGUAUGAACGAUAAAAACUGAAUUUGUAAUUGAAAUUGGUCUAGAUGACUGAUGAACAGGAGAACAGACCGGGUUUUGGUGUGAUGCCACCGGUGUAAAAAUGGUUAAAACUUUCGGCAAUGGAUCUCUCGGCUCUCC